GCUCCCAUAGGAGUUCGGACGGAGUUUCCCCGUGGUCGGAGUCAGAGGCGAGAUCUGGCUCCCGUAGGAGUCCGAUUGAAGUCUUCCUGUAGCUGGAGUUGGAGACGAGAUCCGGCUCUCGUAGGAGUCCGGUCGAAGUCCACCUACAAUCGAAGUUGGGGACGAGGUCCGACUCCCGUAGGAGUCCGGACAGAGUCUACUUGUGGUCG
rnacentral:lncRNA from 1 species